AGGAUGAACGCUGGCGGCGUGCCUAACACAUGCAAGUCGAACGGUCUCUUUCGGGAGAUAGUGGCGCACGGGUGAGUAACACGUGGUUGACCUACCCCAAAGUAGGGAUAACGUUCCGAAAGGAAUGCUAAUACCCUAUAAGCUCCCGGCAUUUAGAACACUGGGAGAAAAGUUCCGGCGCUUUGGGAGGGACUGCGAACCAUCAGCUUGUUGGUGAGGUAAAGGCUUACCAAGGCGACGACGGUUAGGG
rnacentral:rRNA from 1 species